CACUAAGAAGCUAGACAGGAACAAGCGAUAGCCUUUUAAGCUAUAAACGGGUGACCCCUAAUCACCCUUAGUGA
rnacentral:tRNA from 1 species